GCAUCUAUUGGGUUCGUGGGGUAGGGAAAAGAAAAACAUGGCCAUGGCAUUGAGGCCUUGAAGCAACAAGGGCUUUGUGAAGGACAACAUGGCGAUGGGGGGCGGUGCCGACGGGCCUCUCUGUGAUGAGAAUCUUUUCACAGACCUGUACUGAGCUCCGUGAGGAUAAGAAACUCUGAGGAGUCAGGCCUUGCACGGCCGACGCAGUCUUAGCUCCGGAAAGCAAAGCGUUUACGAGAUAGCUUAGUGCUGACCUGAUGUUCUGUUGUCUUCAGGGUUCGGGUGCGCGUCGAACACUAAAGGGUAGCACAGAGUUCUCCUUACAAUGUGGUUUAAAUCAAAAGACCUUUCGGGUGGGAGGAUGGGACAAGACCUGUCCCUGUGUGGAUCAAGCAUUAUGGCGAUGCUCCAGCAUCUCAUCACCAAUCCUAAGGAAUUCAGCUGCCUCCCAGAGUGAAUGCAGGUAAUUUUGCAAAUGGGGGGUUAGGGUGUAGUCUGUCUGGUGUUCCCCACAACCAGGAGAGCAAAUGGUCAGUGGAGCAGUGUUGCUUUUUUGCUCCUUCCAGCUUGUUCCUCUUGGAAUGAUUUUCCUGGGGAGGGAGAUGGCAACCCAGCCAGCGGCACCCUUGGUUCUUGUGAUGGUGUGCUCUUCCCUCACCCACAUGUCACUGUCAGAUGAUUUGAAUGAUAGUGCUGAUUCUCUGUGAGGUACGACAUUUAAUAGCAUGUUAGAGUUCUGAUGGCAGUUUCUGUUAACGAGGAAAUUUUAUUCCAUCCUAGUAUUUUGAAAUAACCAUUUGCUCCCCUUUUGCAGGUUGUCCUCGUGGUGAUGUAUAUACAUCUGUCUUACAAUGCCUCUUGAUCUGCUCAGGGUCAGACUCCUGGAAGGAGUUGAGAGCGGUGAGUACUUGUAACCUUUCUGGUUGUAGCUUGUUUCCAGUGCCAGUGAGGAGAGCAAGCAUUCAUUCUGUCUUACCCCUGUUCUAGCCCCAGAGCCAGUAAUGGUGAACCCACUGGGGCUAACUGGGAGAGGGGAUGAAAGCGUGUUCCAUAAGGAAGUGUCUGAGGUGCAGCAAAUGCCUGCGGAUAUCAUUUGCUUAGCUUUUCUUGGUUUAUCCAUUAACCCUAGCUAGAAUAAUUCUGGCUAUUUUGCUAAUUACAUGAUCUUCACAUUCAGGAGCAGCUUGUUCCUGUUCCUGUAUAUAUACUCCUGGAAAGCCUCCAGAGUUGAAAGGUUAGUUGAUUAAUGUCUGUAUGGCAUAUAUCACCAAGUAAGCAGUUUCUAUGAUGAGUCAAACUAGCUCACUAUGACUUAAACAAUGAAAAGACCUGAACACCUGAGAAACUGGAGAAGACAGCAGUGGGAUAUUGUCUGUAAGGAACUUGGAUCACGCACAGCUUUGUUCUUCCCUAGGUACCAUUGCCAGUUACCUGCUUGUUUGCUCAAAGGUGAGUGUUUUCCAUAUGCGUUGGUGCGUACAGUGUAUUGAGUAGGAAAAAAUGCCUUUUUAGGCAUGUCUGUAUGAUGAUUUAACAUGGAAUCUCGUUCGGCUGAUGAUUUGCUGUUGAGACUCGGAAAUCUGAUUUUCUAGGAACCAUAGCUUAGGUAGGAACAACUUUUAAUGCAGGAAGUAAGCUUACUGAUUCAGUCUUGUUUUUGUUUUAGGUCCAGCUCCUUGUUUGGAGCCUGAGAAUGAAUUGAGGUAAAUCUGUCAUCUGUGGCUGCUAUAUAGAAUUUGCCAGGGUUUUUUGUGGCACUUUGGAUAGCUGUGCAGACAUUACUUGUUUAAUCCAAAGUUUGUCUUUGGCCAUUUGUGAACCACCUGUGACAGACAGAUUUUCACUCACCAGUGAUGAGUUCAGUACCGCCCCAGUCUGAUCACUGUGACUGAAAGGUAUUUUCUGAGCUGUGAGUUUGCCUUGGAGUGAAAGGUGACAAUAGUGGGAAGUUGGGUGGGCUUUAUAGCCAAUAGGAAGCUUUGUGGACUAGGUGGUGGUUUCUAUUAAAAUGUCUGUUGAGACCUACAUAGAUGUGCCUUUUGUCUGGGGUGGUUCCGAGACUUAGCUGCCAGUCAUUCUUUUGCAGGGGAAAGGAGAAAGCCGUAGUUCUGUUCAACUCCAGUCUGAAGUUAAGAGGUCUGAAGAAAGAACAAAGCACACAUAAUGGUUCAACUCUCGAAGGUAUCAAAAAUGGAAUUUUCUUAUACAACCUACCUGUUCAAAUUAGCAUACAAUCAUUUUAGCCUUUCUAAAUAAAACUUUUGUUUUUUUAAAGCUUCAAUGAUUCCUGUGUUUGAGUGGGUCUAGCUGGACAGAAGGAGAUAAUCCCAGAAAGAUUGUUACUGGCUUUACCCUGUUUAAGCUUGGCAGUUUGCCUAAUGCUAAAUUGUCUAACCCAGGGAACCAUUCAGGGAGCCUCCUUAUUACACCUUUAGGAGUUUUCCCUUCUCUCUGUACUUAGCUGAGGAGUUCUGUAUGAAAGUUUGCUGGGUUUGGGUGACCCUUUAACCUUUAGCUGCACCCUAAAACUUUACUAGAUUUUUCUCAAUAAAAUACGUUUUGUGUCAGGAAUAUAGUAAAGUAAAAGGCAAUUUAACUGGAAGAAAGUGCAUUUUUGCUAAUUAAAUGGUAGCCAUACAGUAAUAAGAAUGGUCAACACAGUAAUUAUAGCCACAAGAAUGAAAGGGUUGGUCCAAGUGAGAGAAGGCACACCCAGGGACCCUGGGGAAGCACUUGUAUUUAAAGGUGGGAGGAACAGCAGAGGACAAACCCAGAACGAGGCACUGCAAGCAGGAAGAGAGCCUGCAGUGCUGACCUGUAAACCUGAGGGGAGAGCACCGUGAGGUGUUUGGCAGAUAAUGAAGCCUUCCUCAAGCAAUAUUUUCACCAUGUGGCAAAUA